UACGUAGGGGGCAAGCGUUGUCCGGAAUCAUUGGGCGUAAAGAGCGUGUAGGCGGCUCGGUAAGUCCGCUCUGAAAGCCCGGGGCUCAACCCCGGGAGGCGGGCGGAUACUGUCGAGCUAGAGUCCGGAAGAGGCGAGUGGAAUUCCUGGUGUAGCGGUGAAAUGCGCAGAUAUCAGGAGGAACACCAAUGGCGAAGGCAGCUCGCUGGGACGAUACUGACGCUGAGACGCGAAAGCGUGGGGAGCAAACAGG
rnacentral:rRNA from 1 species